rnacentral:rRNA from 1 species
CUUUCUUUGCUGGCGACCGGCGCACGGGUGAGUAACACGUAUCCAACCUGCCCUUUACUCGGGGAUAGCCUUUCGAAAGAAAGAUUAAUACCCGAUAACAUAAUGAUUCCGCAUGGUUUCAUUAUUAAAGGAUUCCGGUAAAGGAUGGGGAUGCGUUCCAUUAGGUUGUUGGUGAGGUAACGGCUCACCAAGCCUUCGAUGGAUAGGGGUUCUGAGAGGAAGGUCCCCCACAUUGGAACUGAGACACGGUCCAA